rnacentral:rRNA from 2 species
GAACGAACUCUGGUAUUGAUUGGUGCUUGCAUCAUGAUUUACAUUUGAGUGAGUGGCGAACUGGUGAGUAACACGUGGGAAACCUGCCCAGAAGCGGGGGAUAACACCUGGAAACAGAUGCUAAUACCGCAUAACAACUUGGACCGCAUGGUCCGAGCUUGAAAGAUGGCUUCGGCUAUCACUUUUGGAUGGUCCCGCGGCGUAUUAGCUAGAUGGUGGGGUAACGGCUCACCAUGGCAAUGAUACGUAGCCGACCUGAGAGGGUAAUCGGCCACAUUGGGACUGAGACACGGCCCAAACUCCUACGGGAGGCAGCAGUAGGGAAUCUUCCACAAUGGACGAAAGUCUGAUGGAGCAACGCCGCGUGAGUGAAGAAGGGUUUCGGCUCGUAAAACUCUGUUGUUAAAGAAGAACAUAUCUGAGAGUAACUGUUCAGGUAUUGACGGUAUUUAACCAGAAAGCCACGGCUAACUACGUGCCAGCAGCCGCGGUAAUACGUAGGUGGCAAGCGUUGUCCGGAUUUAUUGGGCGUAAAGCGAGCGCAGGCGGUUUUUUAAGUCUGAUGUGAAAGCCUUCGGCUCAACCGAAGAAGUGCAUCGGAAACUGGGAAACUUGAGUGCAGAAGAGGACAGUGGAACUCCAUGUGUAGCGGUGAAAUGCGUAGAUAUAUGGAAGAACACCAGUGGCGAAGGCGGCUGUCUGGUCUGUAACUGACGCUGAGGCUCGAAAGUAUGGGUAGCAAACAGGAUUAGAUACCCUGGUAGUCCAUACCGUAAACGAUGAAUGCUAAGUGUUGGAGGGUUUCCGCCCUUCAGUGCUGCAGCUAACGCAUUAAGCAUUCCGCCUGGGGAGUACGGCCGCAAGGCUGAAACUCAAAGGAAUUGACGGGGGCCCGCACAAGCGGUGGAGCAUGUGGUUUAAUUCGAAGCUACGCGAAGAACCUUACCAGGUCUUGACAUACUAUGCAAAUCUAAGAGAUUAGACGUUCCCUUCGGGGACAUGGAUACAGGUGGUGCAUGGUUGUCGUCAGCUCGUGUCGUGAGAUGUUGGGUUAAGUCCCGCAACGAGCGCAACCCUUAUUAUCAGUUGCCAGCAUUAAGUUGGGCACUCUGGUGAGACUGCCGGUGACAAACCGGAGGAAGGUGGGGAUGACGUCAAAUCAUCAUGCCCCUUAUGACCUGGGCUACACACGUGCUACAAUGGAUGGUACAACGAGUUGCGAACUCGCGAGAGUAAGCUAAUCUCUUAAAGCCAUUCUCAGUUCGGAUUGUAGGCUGCAACUCGCCUACAUGAAGUCGGAAUC